UAGCAUGCAGCUUGUGAGUCGCCACGUCAGCUCGCUAGAGUAUUUAAGCAGUUCCAUAUAUAAAUUCAAGGCCUUUUCAGAAAUCUACGCAAGCCGUUUGCUCGUUAUUUCACUUUAAUGGCUGCCCCGGUUCAACCUGCCCCCGAAGCUUUGCAAGCGCUCGUUGGAGCUGCUGUCGCUCAGGGAGCUGACGCGGUUCCUGGAGACUAACAAACGCCUAUUGAAAGCAAUGAGCUCGGGCAGUUGAGAGAGCGGAUUGAGGAGCUGCGCAAGCUACAAGACUCGGGGUCUGUGGACUCAACGCUUCGCCAUCUAAGAGAAAUGUUGGCCAAGAAGUUGCCAUAGCUAAAGAGAUUCAGAAAGCGCUUAAAUCUGCGUCCUCUGCAACUCCUCGGCGCUUAGAGUCUGGCCCGUACUACUGAGACUCGUGUCCUUCUGUAAUAUGUUAUUUCUGUGGUCGCAGAGGACACAUAAGCAGAAACUGUUAUGCCAAACGAGGUGGUCGUGGCCAAGGUCGCGGCUAUUAAUAUGAUCGAGUCAUUGUUUCAAUUUCAUGUUAAUGUAUUUCUCUAUAAAGGGUUAAUUCCAGGUGUAGUUACUUCAUUUUUCCCGCUUCUCUGUGGAAUAUUUUUAUUAUACUUUAUAUCUUCACAGUUUACAUACUCGUGGUUUUUAUUACAUAUUAUUAGUGAAUGUAUUCAAUGGAAGCUAUUUUGCAUAGUUAUACACUCUUUCCGUAAUUUUAGGGGAAAUCUAAAUCAACUCCCUAUAGCUUGUCUUCGGACGGGCUUCUUAUAUCCAAUAUCGUAAGAUCGAGGUAAUUUCUCAUAUAUUUCACUGUAUUUUCGCCGGGAGAAAGGACGCCAUCGAAAAAUCGAGGUUAUUGUAAAAAAAUUUUGUUGUUUCAGAGUUUUAUAUGGGGGUUGGGGGGUGAAUUAACCCCUGCGAAAUGAACUCCCAAGAUUUGGGAGCUCCUAGGAUUUCCUAGGAUAUCCUGGAUACUCCUAAAUAUUGGGAAAUUGAAUUUGGGAGUAUCUAGGAAAACAUGGGAGCCAAAUGCGCGCCUCUGAUCAUUUGGGAGUUCCUGGGAUAUCCUAGGAACUCCCGAAUCCUCGGCUAUUCUCCUAGAUUCUCCCCAAAAGUUGGGAAACCCAGCGCUUGCUAAACAUCUCGGACAAAAUUGCACAGUUUUCUAAAAAGAGUCUUAUGGAGGACAAGCCCAUCGCAGGUUUGCUGGCAUCUCUGCUAAUUAUUAUUAUAAUAAUAGAGGGGAAGAAGGAACAACUCAACUGAAUUAUUCGCUGAUGACAACAGUAAAGAAAAUAAAUGACUUCAUAAAUCUUCUCGCGUAUGUUUAUUUUCAAAUAACAUGAUGGAAACUUGAUUUGUAAAUCACUGUUAAAGUCAAUUUAUUCAUUUCCCAAAAUUUAAUUGGAAAAAUUUUAAGGUCUACAGUCUUUCAUUUGUAUUUUGGAAUUGCUGUCGUAUGGGUAGCUCUAGCAUGGGAUAGCUGUGGUAUGCUUAGCCAAUCAGAUGCCAGGUUUUUGGCGGGCUUUUUCCCGCGCGUCGCGUUCAAAAGUGAUGUCCCGCUCGCCACAACUUCAAAAGGAGUUCAAACCAUUGUUGUGAGAGGGGUUUCGCCGAGGAUUUCACGCCAAAUACACCCAGUUUUCAUCUUAUUUUAGCACUUCUGCUGAUUAAACAACUAUCUGCAGCGGUGCAGCAAGUAGGAGACUUGGAUGCUUCUUACCAGGUGGUUGAAGAAUGCCGUUGCCACAGUAGCGAAGCCAGCACACUGGUGUCUUGGGAAGCUGGUAGACGUAGAAUGCACCGCAGUUCCUGACUUUGAUGUAGUUGCUCCAUCUGCAGCAGUUUUUAGUCCAGUGGUAGCACACCUUGCGAGUCACCAUACCUUGGGCUACAGUGGGAUGAGCUCCCACCAUCCACCCAGGCGCGUGGGUUCCACAGCGUUUUUCAAGUACACAACUUGUUGGCAUAGCAUUGCCUGCUUGUCCAGUGAAACGGUACCACAGGUUACCUGGAAACUCAUUCUUGUCACAGCGGAGGGCAUUUUGUGCGGUAUUGGCCAUUGCACGAUCGGCUCCGUGUAACAUUGUGUACGAUCUGCAUUCUAAAGAAAAACACAGCUUUUGAUUUAUCGGAUAUCAUCUUUUUUUUUUGUAAAUUGUCUUAGUAAGUAUUUUUAUCAACAUGUCGAUCACAUACUAUUGUUUAGGAAUACUAGUUCAUUUUAUUGUAUUGUUUUUAGACAGUCAUGAAAAUUAAUAGCAUCCAAAAGUAUAGCCUGCGUAGCAAGCGUUUCUUUAGAGUUUCAGCAGGAAUAGUAUAGAGAGCGAUACGCAGGCUACCAAAAGUAUUAUUAGCCAGCUAGCAAGGUUAAUACAUCAUUUAUUAUAUGGCUAUUUAAAUUUAUUUGAGAAGACAUUUCAAUGGGAGAAGGGAAACCACGCAAGUCAAGUUUCGUUGAUUUGUUGUGCUAGGUAAGGAAAAAGUCAAAUUUCGUUCUAAAGAUGCAAAAUUCUGUUAGCGCAUCGGACCCCUGAGAUGGGAAUAUCUCGGCUACUAAUCACAUCGUGCGGUACGAUUAUAAUAUGUCUUCUUACAAUAUUUACCUGAUGGGGGGUAAUAUGCGCGCGGCUUGAUGUCGAGCUUCUCAUCUGUCAGAAAAAAACAUUACAUCAAAUUAAAAUCCUUUAAAAAUCGAA